CCUACGGGAGGCAGCAGUGGGGGAUAUUGGACAAUGGGGGGAACCCUGAUCCAGCGACGCCGCGUGAGUGAAGAAGUAUUUCGGUACGUAAAGCUCUGUCAGCAGGGAAGAAAGAAAUGACGGUACCUGACCAAGCAGCCCCGGCUAACUACGUGCCAGCAGCCGCGGUAAUACGUAGGGGGCAAGCGUUAUCCGGAAUUACUGGGGGUAAAGGGAGCGUAGACGGUUAAGUAAGUCUGGAGUGAAAGGCCGGGGCCCAACCCCGGGACUGCUCUGGAAACUAUUCAACUUGAGUGCAGGAGAGGUAAGCGGAAUUCCUAGUGUAGCGGUGAAAUGCGUAGAUAUUAGGAGGAACACCAGUGGCGAAGGCGGCUUACUGGACUGUAACUGACGUUGAGGCUCGAAAGCGUGGGGAGCAAACAGGAUUAGAUACCCCUGUAGUC
rnacentral:rRNA from 1 species